UACGUAGGGUGCGAGCGUUAAUCGGAAUUACUGGGCGUAAAGCGUGCGCAGGCGGCGCGUUAAGACAGGUGUGAAAGCCCCGAGCUUAACUUGGGAAUUGCGCUUGUGACUGGCGUGCUGGAGUGUGGCAGAGGGAGGUGGAAUUCCACGUGUAGCAGUGAAAUGCGUAGAGAUGUGGAGGAACACCGAUGGCGAAGGCAGCCUCCUGGGCCUGCACUGACGCUCAUGCACGAAAGCGUGGGGAGCAAACAGG
rnacentral:rRNA from 1 species